rnacentral:rRNA from 1 species
GGGUCAGUAGGUUGGUCGUGCCACCGGUACGUACUGGUCUCACUGAUUCCUCCUUCCUGAAGAACCGUAAUGCCAUUAAUUUGGUGUUGCGGGGAAACAGGACUGUUACUUUGAAAAAAUUAGAGUGUUUAAAGCAAGCUAACGCUUGAAUACAUUAGCAUGGAAUAAUGAAAUAGGACGAUCGAUCAUAUUUAGUUGGUUUCUAGGAUUGACGUA